UACGAAUACGAACCGUGA
rnacentral:snRNA from 1 species